AGAGUUUGAUCCUGGCUCAGGACGAACGCUGGCGGCGUGCCUAAUACAUGCAAGUCGAACGAAGCUUUCUUUCACCGAAUGCUUACAUUCACCGAAAGAAGCUUAGUGGCGAACGGGUGAGUAACACGUAGGCAACCUGCCCAAAAGAGGGGGAUAACACUUGGAAACAGGUGCUAAUACCGCAUAACCAUGAACACCGCAUGAUGUUCAUGUAAAAGACGGCUUUUGCUGUCACUUUUGGAUGGGCCUGCGGCGUAUUAACUUGUUGGUGGGGUAACGGCCUACCAAGGUGAUGAUACGUAGCCGAACUGAGAGGUUGAUCGGCCACAUUGGGACUGAGACACGGCCCAAACUCCUACGGGAGGCAGCAGUAGGGAAUCUUCCACAAUGGACGAAAGUCUGAUGGAGCAACGCCGCGUGAAUGAAGAAGGCCUUCGGGUCGUAAAAUUCUGUUGUCAGAGAAGAACGUGCGUGAGAGUAACUGUUCACGUAUUGACGGUAUCUGACCAGAAAGCCACGGCUAACUACGUGCCAGCAGCCGCGGUAAUACGUAGGUGGCGAGCGUUGUCCGGAUUUAUUGGGCGUAAAGGGAACGCAGGCGGUCUUUUAAGUCUGAUGUGAAAGCCUUCGGCUUAACCGAAGUAGUGCAUUGGAAACUGGAAGACUUGAGUGCAGAAGAGGAGAGUGGAACUCCAUGUGUAGCGGUGAAAUGCGUAGAUAUAUGGAAGAACACCAGUGGCGAAAGCGGCUCUCUGGUCUGUAACUGACGCUGAGGUUCGAAAGCGUGGGUAGCAAACAGGAUUAGAUACCCUGGUAGUCCACGCCGUAAACGAUGAGUGCUAAGUGUUGGAGGGUUUCCGCCCUUCAGUGCUGCAGCUAACGCAUUAAGCACUCCGCCUGGGGAGUACGGUCGCAAGACUGAAACUCAAAGGAAUUAACGGGGGCCCGCACAAGCGGUGGAGCAUGUGGUUUAAUUCGAAGCAACGCGAAGAACCUUACCAGGUCUUGACAUCUUCUGACAAUUCCAGAGGUGGAACGUUCCCUUCGGGGACAGAAUGACAGGUGGUGCAUGGUUGUCGUCAGCUCGUGUCGUGAGAUGUUGGGUUAAGUCCCGCAACGAGCGCAACCCUUAUUGUCAGUUGCCAUCAUUAAGUUGGGCACUCUGGCGAGACUGCCGGUGACAAACCGGAGGAAGGUGGGGAUGACGUCAAAUCAUCAUGCCCCUUAUGACCUGGGCUACACACGUGCUACAAUGGACGGUACAACGAGUCGCUAACUCGCGAGGGCAAGCUAAUCUCUUAAAGCCGUUCUCAGUUCGGAUUGCAGGCUGCAACUCGCCUGCAUGAAGUCGGAAUCGCUAGUAAUCGCGAAUCAGCAUGUCGCGGUGAAUACGUUCCCGGGCCUUGUACACACCGCCCGUCACACCAUGAGAGUUUGUAACACCCAAAGUCGGUGGGGUAACCUUUUGGAGCCAGCCGCCUAAGGUGGGACAGAUGAUUGGGGUGAAGUCGUAACAAGGUA
rnacentral:rRNA from 1 species